UACGUAGGGGGCAAGCGUUGUCCGGAUUUAUUGGGCGUAAAGAGCGUGUAGGCGGCCAGGUAGGUCAGCUGUGAAAACUCGAGGCUCAACCUCGAGACGUCGGUUGAAACCACCUGGCUAGAGUCCGGAAGAGGAGAAUGGAAUUCCUGGUGUAGCGGUGAAAUGCGCAGAUAUCAGGAAGAACACCCGUGGCGAAGGCGGCUCUCUGGGACGGUACUGACGCUGAGACGCGGAAGCGUGGGGAGCGAACAGG
rnacentral:rRNA from 1 species